AUUCCUCCACAUUUGGGCAUUAAAGCCUCCAAAUCUGCCCUGAAACCCUGUACAUUUUCUCAGAAAUCCCAGAAAUUUGGCCUAAAAUUUGCUAAAUUUGGCCAGAAUCCUCUAAAUUUGCCUCAAAUCCUGCCAUUUCCCCUCCCCCAAAUCCUGCAAACUUUCCCCGAAUCCUGCAAAUCAAGACUGAAAUCCUGCAAAUUGGGACUGAAAUCCCACAAAUUUGCUUCAAAAUCCUGCCAAUUCUCCAAAAUCCCAGGCCAUUACCCCCCCAAAAUCCUGCAAACUUUCCCCGAAUCCUACAAAUCAAGACUGAAACCCCACAAAUUUCCUUUAAAAUCCUGCCAAUUCUCCAAAAUUCCAGAAAUUUGGCCUUAAAUCUGCUCAAUUUGGCCUACAAUCCUCCAAAUUUGCCUCAAAUCCUGCCAUUUCCCCCCUGAAAUCCGGCAAGCUUUCCCCGAAUCCUGCAAAUCAAGACUGAAACCCCACAAAUUUCCUUCAAAAUCCUGCCAAUUCUCCGAAAUUCCAGAAAUUUGGCCUUAAAUCUGCUCAAUUUGGCCUACAAUCCUCCAAAUUUGCCUCAAAUCCUGCCAUUUCCCCCCUGAAAUCCGGCAAGCUUUCCCCGAAUCCUGCAAAUCAAGACUGAAAUCCUGCAAAUUGGGACUGAAACCCCACAAAUUUCCUUCAAAAUCCUGCCAAUUCUCCGAAAUUCCAGAAAUUUGGCCUUAAAUCUGCUCAAUUUGGCCUACAAUCCUCCAAAUUUGCCUCAAAUCCUGCCAUUUCCCCCCUGAAAUCCGGCAAGCUUUCCCCGAAUCCUGCAAAUCAAGACUGAAAUCCUGCAAAUUGGGACUGAAACCCCACAAAUUUCCUUCAAAAUCCUGCCAAUUCUCCGAAAUUCCAGAAAUUUGGCCUUAAAUCUGCUCAAUUUGGCCUACAAUCCUCCAAAUUUGCCUCAAAUCCUUGCUUUUUUUUUUUUUUUUCUGCAAAAAAUCCUGCAAAUUUUCCCCAAAUCCUUCGCUGGGUGUUUAUUUUUUUU
rnacentral:lncRNA from 1 species